rnacentral:rRNA from 1 species
GUGUCAGCCGCCGCGGUAAUACGUAAGGACCGAGCGUUGUCCGGAAUCAUUGGGCGUAAAGGGUACGUAGGCGGGUCAUUAAGUUAGAAGUCAAAGGCUAUAGCUCAACUAUAGUAAGCUUCUAAAACUGGAGACCUUGAGUAAUGGAAGGGAAAGUGGAAUUCCUAGUGUAGCGGUGGAAUGCGCAGAUAUUAGGAGGAAUACCGGUGGCGAAGGCGACUUUCUGGCCAUUAACUGACGCUGAGGCGCGACAGCGUGGGGAGCGAACGGGAUUAGAAACCCGGGUAGUCC